UGACGUUGGGAAAGCGAGCGGCGGAUGGGUGAGUAACACGUGGGGAACCUGCCCCUAAGUCUGGGAUACCAUUUGGAAACAGGUGCUAAUACCGGAUAAUAAAGCAGAUCGCAUGAUCAGCUUUUGAAAGGCGGCGUAAGCUGUCGCUAAGGGAUGGCCCCGCGGUGCAUUAGCUAGUUGGUAAGGUAACGGCUUACCAAGGCGACGAUGCAUAGCCGAGUUGAGAGACUGAUCGGCCACAUUGGGACUGAGACACGGCCCAAACUCCUACGGGAGGCAGCAGUAGGGAAUCUUCCACAAUGGACGCAAGUCUGAUGGAGCAACGCCGCGUGAGUGAAGAAGGUUUUCGGAUCGUAAAGCUCUGUUGUUGGUGAAGAAGGAUAGAGGUAGUAACUGGCCUUUAUUUGACGGUAAUCAACCAGAAAGUCACGGCUAACUACGUGCCAGCAGCCGCGGUAAUACGUAGGUGGCAAGCGUUGUCCGGAUUUAUUGGGCGUAAAGCGAGCGCAGGCGGAAAAAUAAGUCUAAUGUGAAAGCCCUCGGCUUAACCGAGGAAUUGCAUCGGAAACUGUUUUUCUUGAGUGCAGAAGAGGAGAGUGGAACUCCAUGUGUAGCGGUGGAAUGCGUAGAUAUAUGGAAGAACACCAGUGGCGAAGGCGGCUCUCUGGUCUGCAACUGACGCUGAGGCUCGAAAGCAUGGGUAGCGAACAGGAUUAGAUACCCUGGUAGUCCAUGCCGUAAACGAUGAGUGCUAAAGUGUUGGGAGGUUU
rnacentral:rRNA from 1 species